AAGUGCGAUCAUACCAGCACUAAUGCACCGGAUCCCAUCAGAACUCCGCAGUUAAGCGUGCUUGGGCGAGAGUAGUACUAGGAUGACUUCCUCCUGGGAAGUCCUCGUGUUGCACUUC
rnacentral:rRNA from 1 species